rnacentral:rRNA from 1 species
UCUUCCCUCUGGCGGCGUGCCUAAUACAUGCAAGUCGAGCGAACAGACGAGGAGCUUGCUCCUUUGACGUUAGCGGCGGACGGGUGAGUAACACGUGGAUAACCUACCUAUAAGACUGGGAUAACUUCGGGAAACCGGAGCUAAUACCGGAUAACAUGUUGAACCGCAUGGUUCAACAGUGAAAGACGGUCUUGCUGUCACUUAUAGAUGGAUCCGCGCCGCAUUAGCUAGUUGGUAAGGUAACGGCUUACCAAGGCAACGAUGCGUAGCCGACCUGAGAGGGUGAUCGGCCACACUGGAACUGAGACACGGUCCAGACUCCUACGGGAGGCAGCAGUAGGGAAUCUUCCGCAAUGGGCGAAAGCCUGACGGAGCAACGCCGCGUGAGUGAAGAAGGUCUUCGGAUCGUAAAACUCUGUUAUUAGGGAAGAACAAAUGUGUAAGUAACUAUGCACGUCUUGACGGUACCUAAUCAGAAAGCCACGGCUAACUACGUG